rnacentral:rRNA from 1 species
UACACACCGCCCGUCACACCAUGAGAGCUGUUUGUACCCGAAGUUAUCUUAGCCAACCUGAAAAGGAGGCGGGUACCUAAGGUAUGUAUGGUGAUUGGGGUG